CAAGUCGAGGGGCAUCGGGAGGAAAGCUUGCUUUCCUUGCCGGCGACCGGCGCACGGGUGAGUAACACGUAUGCAACCUGCCCUCUUCAGGGGGACAACCUUCCGAAAGGGAGGCUAAUCCCGCGUAUAUCGGUUUCGGGCAUCCGAGAUCGAGGAAAGAUUCAUCGGAAGAGGAUGGGCAUGCGGCGCAUUAGCUAGACGGCGGGGUAACGGCCCACCGUGGCGACGAUGCGUAGGGGUUCUGAGAGGAAGGUCCCCCACACUGGUACUGAGACACGGACCAGACUCCUACGGGAGGCAGCAGUGAGGAAUAUUGGUCAAUGGGAGAGAUCCUGAACCAGCCAAGCCGCGUGAGGGAAGACGGCCCUAUGGGUUGUAAACCUCUUUUGUCGGAGAACAAAACCCGGGACGUGUCCCGGACUGCGUGUAUCCGAAGAAAAAGCAUCGGCUAACUCCGUGCCAGCAGCCGCGGUAAUACGGAGGAUGCGAGCGUUAUCCGGAUUUAUUGGGUUUAAAGGGUGCGUAGGCGGUCCGUUAAGUCAGCGGUAAAAUUGCGGGGCUCAACCCCGUCGAGCCGUUGAAACUGGCAGACUUGAGUUGGCGAGAAGUACGCGGAAUGCGCGGUGUAGCGGUGAAAUGCAUAGAUAUCGCGCAGAACUCCGAUUGCGAAGGCAGCGUACCGGCGCCAGACUGACGCUGAGGCACGAAAGCGUGGGGAUCGAACAGGAUUAGAUACCCUGGUAGUCCACGCAGUAAACGAUGAAUGCUGGUUGUCCGGGUCGAAUGAGAUCUGGGCGGCGA
rnacentral:rRNA from 1 species